UCUACAGCAGAUCCUGACAACAACAAAGAAAACCUUCAAGAACUGAUCGAAUUUAGUUCAAAGACGAAUGAGGUCAACCCACCCAGCCAAAGACCCGAAGGAGUAUUUCAAAUGGGCGAUUGUGAUACCCUUUAUUGAUGAUAUGAAUACACAACUGGCUGAGCAAUUCUCUGACUCAUCUAUCACAGCUGUUUGAGCAUUCAUGUCGUUGAUACCAUCAGUGAUAAGAGGGAUGGACUUGAAAGAGAUAUCGACAUUGGUGGAUCAACUUUCAGGAUAUGAACCAGACAUUACUCAUCUUGGUAGUUUACAAACUGAGCUAGAGAUCUGGCGAGGGAGGUGGAAGAAUUGUGAGAACUCUCCAGAUACUCUAAUAAGUGCCCUCAAACCUUGCUUUAAAGAUUUGUUUCCAAAUCUUCAUGUGCUGCUUCAACUUUGAUGCCUCAUUCCUAUCAUUAACUGCGAAGCAGAAAGAUCAUUUUCGGCUGUUUGACAAACAAAGAUGACAUUGCGAUCAGUGAUGUUGGAGGACCACCUUAGUGCCGUAGUAUUGCUCAACUCUAACCGCAGACUUCAAAUUAACGUACAAGAUGUUAUUCAGAGAUUCAUCCUCAAAAAGCCAAGCCGACUAUUUUCAACCUUGUACAAAGAGUAGACCUUAUCUCUUGGUGAAAUAAGUAUCAAUGAUGGUUGUGUUGCAGUUUUGACUUUGAAGGGGAUAAA